UGUCAGGGGUGCCGGUACGGCUGAGAAAAGUGAAAACUUUAACCCUUUGAACCUGAUUCGGGCAGCGCCGACGUAGGGAAACCGCUUUG
rnacentral:ncRNA from 1 species